rnacentral:rRNA from 1 species
AGAUAAAUAGUUAGCUAAGAAAAGGUUGUUUAGGAAUUGAGGCAUUUAUUAGAAUGAAUAAAAUUUAAGCUAUAUGUGGAGUACAGUGAAGGAAAAUUGAAAAUGAUGUUAUUUUGGAGAAGGGGGAAGAUUGUACCUUUUGUAUAAGGGUUGAAUUAUAUUAAUAAUUAAGAAUUUAAUUCCCGAAGAUCUUUGAGCUAUAUUAAUUAUUUAUUAUGGGCGUUGUAUAUCUUGUAUGGAGUUAAUUAUAGUGAUGAAAUUUUAGUCAAAAAGAUAGAUAUCUGGUUAAAAUAUUAACAAUUAUAUAUUGAUCUAUAAUUAUUUUUUUAUUUUAAAAUUUUAUAGAUGUUAUUUAUAGGGAUAAGCUUGUAAAUUUUUUAUAAAAUUAUAUCUGGAAAGAAGGGGGUUUAAAAUUUACUAAAUUUGUAAUAAAAUAUUGAGUGUUGGAAGAUAUAUAUUAUGUUUGUGUUUUGUUUUAUUGAAUAGAAAUUUAUUGGCGUUUAUAUUAGAAUUAGUAUAAAAAGGGGAAUUUAGUAGUUUGAGACUAUAUUUAAAAGUAAUAAAUAGGAUAAGAACUCGGCAAUUUUAGUUAUUGACUGUUUAACAAAAACAUUGUAUUUUGAUAGGAUAGAAUAUAUAACCUGCUCAAUGACAAGUUUAAUUGCUGUGGUAUUUUGACUAUACAAAGGUAUUGUAAUAAGGCUUUUAAUGGGCUCUAAAAGAAUGGUUUAACAAUGACUAUCUUUUUUACUUAUUAUAUUAGAAGUUGGUAUGAAAAUGAAAAAAUUUUCAUGAGUUUUUGGGACAAGAAGACCCUAUGAAUUUUUUUGAAAUUUUUUUUUGAGAAGUUCUUAAGAAAUUUAGUUAAAGGAUAUUUCUGUUGAUUGGGGUGAUUCUUAAAGCUUGUGAAUCUUUAGGUAUAACAAUAAGAUCCAUUAUUAAUGAUUAAAUGAGAUAAAUACUCUAGGGGUAACAGCGUUAUUAUUUUGGAUAGUUCAUAUAGAUAAAAUAGUUUGCGACCUCGAUGUUGGAUUAAGAUUCUUUUGUAAUGCAGGAGUUACAAGAAGAAGUUUGCUCAACUUUUGAAAUCUUACAUGAUCUGAGUUCAGACCGACGUGAGUCAGGUUGGUUUCUAUCUAGAUAGAUAUAAAUAAUCUUUAUAGUACGAAAGGAAUAAAAGAUUAGAAUUAUUUUAAUAAAGAAAGUGUAGAAAAUACUAUAG